AUUGAACGCUGGCGGAAUGCUUUACACAUGCAAGUCGAGCGGCAGCGCGGGGCAACCUGGCGGCGAGCGGCGAACGGGUGAGUAAUGUAUCGGAACGUAUCCUUAAGUGGGGGACAACUAGUCGAAAGACUAGCUAAUACCGCAUACGAUCGAGAGAUGAAAGUGGGGGACCGCAAGGCCUCACGCUUUUGGAGCGGCCGAUAUCCGAUUAGCUUGUUGGUGAGGUAAAGGCUUACCAAGGCUAUGAUCGGUAGCUGGUCUGAGAGGAUGAUCAGCCACACUGGGACUGAGACACGGCCCAGACUCCUACGGGAGGCAGCAGUGGGGAAUUUUUGGACAAUGGGGGCAACCCUGAUCCAGCCAUGCCGCGUGAGUGAAGAAGGCC
rnacentral:rRNA from 1 species